rnacentral:rRNA from 1 species
AUGCCUUUUAGUUUAUUUGUGGGGGUGAACAAUCGCUUCAAGAGCAUUAUACUGGCUGGGGUCUUCUCCGAAUUUGUUAGGAUAAUAGGUGGUUCUGCGCCGCAAGCAACCUUGACAGGUAAGGCACGCGGUGAACCUUCAUACCUUUUCAGAUCAAAACAGGGCAAUGGAGGUUGCCAUAAAGAACGUGAUGCCUGGAGCAGCUCACCGAUGGUGCAAGUGGCAUGUGCUGAAGAAGAUAAGGCACAAAUGGGCUAA